rnacentral:rRNA from 1 species
UGAGGGAAUAUUUGGGUCAAUGGGCGGAAGCCUGAACCAGCCAAGUAGCGUGAGGGAUGACUGCCCUAUGGGUUGUAAACCUCUUUUAUAAGGGAAUAAAAUACGGGACGUGUCCUGUUUUGCAUGUACCUUAUGAAUAAGGACCGGCUAAUUCCGUGCCAGCAGCCGCGGUAAUACGGAAGGUCCGGGCGUUAUCCGGAUUUAUUGGGUUUAAAGGGAGCGUAGGCGGGCUGUUAAGUCAGCGGUCAAAUGUCAGGGCCCAACCUUGGCAUGCCGUUGAUACUGGCGGCCUUGAGUUCACACAAGGAAGGUGGAAUUCGUCGUGUAGCGGUGAAAUGCUUAGAUAUGACGAAGAACUCCGAUUGCGAAGGCAGCCUUCUGGGGUGUUACUGACGCUGAGGCUCGAAAGUGCGGGAAUCAAACAGGAUUAGAUACCCUGGUAGU